rnacentral:rRNA from 1 species
AUUGAACGCUGGCGGCAUGCUUUACACAUGCAAGUCGAACGGCAGCGCGGGCUUCGGCCUGGCGGCGCGUGGCGAACGGGUGAGUAAUGCAUCGGAACGUGCCCCGUAGUGGGGGAUAGCCCGUCGAAAGCCGGAUUAAUACCGCAUACGACCUGAGGGUGAAAGCGGGGGGCCGAAAGGCCUCGCGCUAUUGGAGCGGCCGAUGUCGGGUUAGCUAGCUGGUGGGGUAAAGGCUUACCAAGGCGACGAUCCGUAGCUGGUCUGAGAGGACGACCAGCCACACGGGGACUGAGACACGGCCCAGACUCCUACGGGAGGCAGCAGUGGGGAAUUUUGGACAAUGGGGGCAACCCUGAUCCAGCCAUGCCGCGUGCGGGAAGAAGGCCUUCGGGUUGUAAACCGCUUUUGUUCGGGAAGAAAUCCUCUGGGCUAAUACCCCGGGGGGAUGACGGUACCGGAAGAAUAAGCACCGGCUAACUACGUG